rnacentral:rRNA from 1 species
AUUGAACGCUGGCGGCAGGCUUAACACAUGCAAGUCGAGCGGAGAUGAGGUGCUUGCAUCUUAUCUUAGCGGCGGACGGGUGAGUAAUGCUUAGGAAUCUGCCUAUUAGUGGGGGACAACAUUCCGAAAGGAAUGCUAAUACCGCAUACGCCCUACGGGGGAAAGCAGGGGAUCUUCGGACCUUGCGCUAAUAGAUGAGCCUAAGUCGGAUUAGCUAGUUGGUGGGGUAAAGGCCUACCAAGGCGACGAUCUGUAGCGGGUCUGAGAGGAUGAUCCGCCACACUGGGACUGAGACACGGCCCAGACUCCUACGGGAGGCAGCAGUGGGGAAUAUUGGACAAUGGGCGGGAGCCUGAUCCAGCCAUGCCGCGUGUGUGAAGAAGGCCUUUUGGUUGUAAAGCACUUUAAGCGAGGAGGAGGCUACCUGGAUUAAUACUCUAGGAUAGUGGACGUUACUCGCAGAAUAAGCACCGGCUAACUCUGUGCCAGCCGCCGCAGUAAAAC